UACGGGGGGGGCAAGCGUUGUUCGGAAUUACUGGGCGUAAAGGGCUCGUAGGCGGCCAACUAAGUCGGACGUGAAAUCCCUCGGCUUAACCGGGGAACUGCAUCUGAUACUGGAUGGCUUGAGUUCGGGAGAGGGAUGCGGAAUUCCAGGUGUAGCGGUGAAAUGCGUAGAUAUCAGGAGGAACACCGGUGGCGAAGGCGGGUCUCUGGGCCGAUACUGACGCUGAGGAGCGAAAGCGUGGGGAGCGAACAGG
rnacentral:rRNA from 1 species